GCGAGGUGUCACCAAACAAACCCGCCUCCCUCGCGGCGCUACUCCCCUGUCACACCGAGCCAGUGUCAACAAUGGCGCCUUCAGGUGCCCCUCGAAAGAGCUUGCGACCCAGGGACCGGAGACCAGAGGAGCCAUACUGGUGCACCGUCGCGUCCAAGCAGAAGGGAAUUCACCCAAACGAACAACUGCUCUGACAGGCGGGCCCUCGUCUGUUUUGAGGGAGCUGCCAUCGCCAGAGAAGGCAGACAGGCAGUCGUAGAGGCAGGUGGAUCGACAGGCGAACAGGCGGAGGUGUUGCUGUUCAACAUCCAUUCCCCAGAAGGAGCACCAGAUCCUGAGCUAUGGUGAAGCUGUUCUCAUCUGUUGUCAUGGCAUGCCACACUCCUGGGAAGCUUCACUAAAAGCCAGUGUCAGGAUGUUAAGCUUUUUACAGACUGACGCAAGAUGCCUUGCUCUAGCCACUCCACCGCACUGCAGAGCCAUCUAACAAAUGAAGAGGCGUCUGAGGCCCCGCGGCUACGGGGUCACACGGCAGCCUUGUGAAGUUGUGGCAGUUACCAGCACGUCUCGCUGUACGCUGGCAGGACGAGCCACAACAUUCCAGCCUGUUUACAGAGUAGCACCUUAGGCCCCCAUAUUUCUCACACCCAGGAUGAAGGAGUGACAGCAUCUGUGGGAUAAGCUUGUGUUGGAUGAGAUGGAUUUACACAAGAGAGAGUUGGUAGCAUACCUGAACAGUGGAUGCAGUUACAGAAAGUUGGGUCAGGAUGGAAGUGUUAUAUAAGCUGCAUUUAUCCAGAACACUCCUGAUAAGAUGAAGGAUGUCUGUUGACGCAAUUUGCAGGACAAAAAUAAGCACCCUCCCUUGACCGACACAUAUCAUUUACUUUUAUUAUUUGGGGAUACAUUUUAAUCAUUGUGUUUGUGUUUUUGUUUAUGCACAUGCAUGCCUGCUCCUCACCACUGACUCAUACCUGUCAAAAACAUAUCACCCAUGACUCAAACUCCACCCACUGUUGGCAUGACUGACAGCUCGCUCAGGCAAAGUUCAAACACCACGCUCCAUCACCAAAUACAGCUGCGGCCGUGUGAGAGAAUAAACACCUCUGAGUCACAGAACAGGACCUUGAAAAAUUUUAGUCACACAUUUUUGUCAUCAUUGUCUACUGCUCAAUGGAAAACUCAGAGCACCAUAUAGGUCUCUAAAAAUCAGAAUCCCUGUAUUAUCCAAGUAUGAUAAAUUUUAAAAAAAAUUGUAUCUUAAGCCUGAGGGUG